rnacentral:tRNA from 1 species
UGGGCGUUGGCCGAGAGGUUUAAGGCGUUGGACUUUGACUCCAAUGUGGAUUAAAAGCUCACCGCAGGUUCGAAUCCUGCACACCCAA